rnacentral:lncRNA from 1 species
GGCUGCAGGCACAUUCCCUCCAUAGCAUUUACUGAUUGCCUGCGUGAAGAAUCCUUAAUUCCAGUAAGCAUGGUGAAUGUGAGCAGAAGGAACUAGGUGUAUUUUUAAGGACAGCCUCAUGGAGUUCUAGAGAUGAAAGCUGAAGGAAUUUUCCUGAAAAGGACUGGGAAGGAAAGCAGGAGAGAGACCUGGGCCCUGACCUUCCUUCGUCACCAUCAGCUUGUGACAUCUUCUCAGGCCAGCCCUAGCCAACUCUGUGACUGUUUCCACAGGUGUCGAUGUUGGCAUCAUGUCUAACUUCUGCUGCUUCCCAAGGUCGCCAUGAUCAUCUCAUUAGUGAGCAGAUGUAAAGUAUUUGUAAAAAGGCAUCAUACAAAAACAAAGUUCAUUGUUAUUCAUCCUUUUCCUUCCCAAAUACACUAGACUUCUUUAAAACAUUAAAGCAAAGUGAGGCCAAGCUGUUUACUUGUUUAACCUAAUAUGAAGGGCCACUGCAAAGCCUGAGGCUCAAAGGUAAGAUUCACAGCCAGGUGCAGUGCCUCCCGCCUGUAAUCCCAGCACUUUGGGAGGCCAAGGCAGGAGGAUUACUUGAGGCCAGGAGUUCGAGACUAGCCUGGGCAACAUAGUGAGACCCUGUCUCUACAAAAAUAAAAAAAAUUAGCCAGGCAUGGUGGUGAGCGCCUGUAGUUUCCAGCUACUCAGGAGGCAGAGGUGGGAGGAUCACUUGAGCCCAAGAAUUUAAGGUUGCAGUGAGCCAUGAUUGCACCACUGCAUUCUAGCCUGGUGACAGAGUGAGACCUCAUCUCAAAAAAGGUAGGAUUCACAACAUGUUUUGAAAUCCUACAGAGUUCCUGAAGACACACACACACACACACACACACACACACACACACACACACUAGAUGUGAUAUGUGGUUAAUGGAAAAAUAGCAUCAGAGACACCGCAUUCAUUAACAGAAAUGAAUUUCGUUUGGCAUUUUCUUCUUUGGUCUUCUUGAUAUCUAUCUUAUAGCUACAUGCAGCACCUGUGGGCUGAUAAAUAAUGUAGUCAAAGAAUUCUGCAAAUCCAGAAAGGUCACUGUUUAUACAUCAUCUGUCUGUCAAGUAAAAUUCUUGGUUCAAAGCAAAAAAGCAAGUUUAUUUUGGGAAUUGGUAACUUGGAAUAACAGCUGCAAAAAGAAAUGAGAAAUAAAGACCCAUCACUUAAUUCUUUUUCUAAAUAUUCAUCUGAAGCCAAAUUUCAUCAAAUUUGAUUGGUUUUAAGGAGAAAAAUCUUGCCAGAUGGAAACAUGAAGAUUGGAAAAGCAACAGAACUUGGAUUUCAGAACUGUGGGGGAUUUAUAGAAGCAUUUGUUAACAACUGAGGAUAUGCACAGCCUGGGUGGGUGUCAGCUCAACUGUGUGACCUGGUGUCCCCAGCCCAGCCAUCCUUGUCUGCACAGCUGAGGAGGUUAAUGAUGAUGGAGAGACUUAGGGGUACUCCCCGCACUCUCUCCUGAGAUCCCAGAGCAAUCCUGAUUGUGGCCGUAAAUAUUUAUGUAGAACCAUCGCUUCUCGCCUCCAAGCUGGGAAUGACUUCGCAUUGAACUUCAGCCCUGCCUGCCCCAGAUUGACCGUGGCUUCCUGAAUCUUACAUUGCAGCAGCUCCUUCCUGCCCACUUUCUCCCUGUGCUAUCAGGGUGACCUGCAGCAAAUGUUCUCACACAGAAUCCUCAAACAACCUCCAGCACAAGGCAGGUGAUACCCUCGUUCUCCCAUGGGGAAACUCCAGCCUAGAGGUCAGGGGACUUGACAAAAGCACACAUGAAUGGUAGAGCCAAGCCUGCCUGUCUGCAAAUUCCUACUUUUGGUCUCUCUGCUGCCCUUUCAGCCCUGCCCCCAGGCUUCAGUUUGGGAGGCCCCUCAUCUGCACCUCACCCCCAGUGCCUCUGUCCUCACCUGUGCAGUGCUGGUUUGCAGGUUAACACCUGCAGGCUCCUCUGGGGCACAUUACUCUUGCUUGCUGUGUUCUGUGGCCACCACACUACCUUGGUUCUGGGGCUUGGCCGUUUUGAGGGUAGAAUCUCUGAAUGUCAGGGAAUUCAGUCUUGAAAAAUUUCCGCUUUGCUGGUAAAAGGAACGCCUCCAUUCUUUUCUCAGCUCAAGCAAACGUAGAUCACUGUCAGGGAACACAGUAUCAGCAAUUUCCCCUUCUCUUCAGAGCAUGGGACUGGACUGGAGAUCCCAUCUUUGGCUUCAAUAUUAAUAUCCAGGGAGUUACCACUUCCUUUCUAAACAAGGGAUGCUGCCUUUGGAGGAUGGUGCCCUGAUCUUGGAAGAGCCAGGUUACCCACGUUUACAGGGACUCUGUCAAAUGAAAAGGUGAAGACCUCAGGCACAGAAAAGCUCCUGCUCCAGGCUACACUGAUCUUUCCUAACCUCCUCAAACACAGCAGUCCUGGAGGGAAGCUAAGCAAAGACAGGCCUGCCUCAUAGUUUUUUUCAAACCCAUUCGUUUGAUUUGGUUUUGAUUAGAGUAGGCUAGUCAACAAUGAGCAAAGCCUUUCACAAAAGCCAAAAACAUACGGAAAUUCCAAAUUGGUGUUUAAAAUUCAAAAUUUGGCCCAAGAAUCUUACUCUACAAGAAAGAAAUCUGCAUUUGUAUAUUCUUUCUCAGUUACUCGAGAACAGACUUCCGUAUAUUCUAAUCAAAGGCCUUGGGUCCCAGAGGCUGUGUUGGUCUGGUUCCUGACAGCCCUUGAAUUCCAGCUUCUAAUCUUUUGCAGAUCUCACUAUGUGCAGACUAAACUAGAGAUGUCUUCAAAGGCAGCUCUCUAGACUUGUAUGUGCUGGCUGUUUUCUGGGCUCAAGUUCAUGCCAUGAUUGUCUGACCCAUCUUCCCUGGAGAGGCAGAUUUCUUCCAUUCCAGUCUUUAAUCAUUAUCUGUGUUAGGCUUGACCAACCUUUCUGAAGGACAAUUGAUUUUAAAUAGUAGUCACAGGCUUAAGUAUAGUCUACAAAGCAGAUUUUUAUUACACUGUAGUGAAAGGGCACACAUAAAAGUGCAUGUGAAUCACAGAAGGCAGGCGAGAGAAGGGGGUCAGCUCAGGACAGGAAGAGAAUAAAUUUGUCCACAAAUUACAUAAUCCACAAAUUACAUAAUACAUUAGCAAGUAACACAUUCGAUCCCAAACUCUCAGGGAGAAAAAAGUAAUUCGUUUUCAUGUUCCCUUGUUUUAUUUUUUCUUCUUAAAUAUUGAAAAUGAGUUGUGAUGAAAAGUCAAAUGGCUUUAAACCCAUGAUCAAUAUCCAUACUUGGAGACAAUAUUAAAACAAGCGAUUUUAAAACCAGACAAUAUUAAAACAAGACAAUGUUAAAACAAGAAUGACUAUUCUCCAUUUCAUUUCUCCUGUGAUACUGUGACUGUAACUGCCAUUGCUAACUAAAACAUUUGGGUUGGCUUUCUCACAUUUUAAAGCUCUUCUUAUUUCUUUUGUCACCCCAACAACUCUGUGACUCCCAUUUCAAUGAUCCCUGCUCCAGAGAUGAGUAAACUCAUUAGUUUAUCACUAUGCAGAGAGAGGGGUCUGAAAUCAGCACUAUGUGAUGUGGAUACUGACUGGGAUUUGCAGAUCGAUGCCCCCUACAUUUCUAUCCUCAGAUCCUGUAGAAAAUAACUAGCUCACAAUGCACAUGGCAGUCAUCAAAUUCUGUUGUGGAUGCCUGUUGCUACAUAACAAACUACCCCCAAAUUUAGAGGACUAACACUACAAUCACUUUCUUCUGUCUCAGUUUUAUAGAUCAGGAAUUUAGGGAGGACUUGGCUGCAGCCUGUGAUAUAGAUAGGGAACAUUCAGUGGCUAUCAGCUGGCAGCUGGUCUGUCUGGAGGGUCAGGCCACACACACACCUGGUGCCUUGGUAGGGACAGCUGGAAGGCAAUGCUCAGCUGAGCCCUUCUUCUUCUCCCAGGAGAGCCUCUCCAUGUUGUCUCUCCAGCAAAGCAGUUGAGCUUCUUUCAUGGAGGGCUCCCAGAGCCCGUGCUCUGAGCAACAGGAAAUGAAAGUUUCCUGACUCUUAAAGCCUGGACCUGAUCGAAACACUCACAGAACCUGCCUAGAUUUAAGGUGAAUGGCAAAUUUAUAUAAUGUCUGCACAGCUUCAUAUAAACAGGGAAGGUCCAAAACUGAUACCAUUUGAUGAUGACUACAUAGCUAUUUGUGAAUGGAGGCUCACAGUUUUGAGAAAGUUCCAUAUUCAAGGGAGAAAAGAGCAGCAAUGUUAUCUCAUCUGAGGCCCCAAAUUCCUACUUUCCAUUGAAUGACUAGCCCUGGAUUUCCCAGAGCACAGUGUAUGCGACUGUCAACUGUCCACACCCAGGAAGAUCUAAAAAGAAGAGACAGUUCUGAGGUGAUUUGUGAGGCCUAGAUUUCCAACAGCUCUUUCUUCCCCUGUGGUAGGCAGGCUGGUGGUGGAGGCAGGGGGAAGAAUGCUACUGUUGCAUGACACACUACCCCAAAACUCAGAGGCUUAGACUUCAUUCCCUAAACUUAGGAAUAUUACCAUAUUUAGCAAAAGGGGCUUUGCAGAUGUGAUUAAGUGAAGGAUUUUGAGAUGGAGAGAUAACCCUGGAUCAUUGGGCAUACCCAAUGUAGUCACAAGGGCCCGUGUAAUAGGGAGGCAGGAGAACAGAGUGGGUAGCAGGAGAUGAGAGGCGGGGAGCAAGAGGUCUGAGUGAGAGGAGGAAGAGGCCAGGAGCCAAGGAACAUGGGCAGCCUCUAGAAACUGGGAGGCAAAGAACAGAGUCUUCACUGGAGCCUCCAGAAGGAACUGCUGACACCUUGGUUUUAGCCCCGUGAGACUCACUACAGACUUCUGACUUCCAGAACUGUAAGAUUAAAAGUGCGUGUGGCUUGAAGUCACUAACUUUUAUGGUAAUUUGUUACAGCAACAACAGGAAACCAAUUUACUCUCCUAAAACACCGUGAAUAAGUUACCUAUAUAGCAUCUCAUGGAAUUUAUAUUGCACAGGGGUUGACCUAAUAAAGUGCAACAGAGCCUCUUCCGCCCAGAGAUAAACUAGGAUUCCGCAUCCCACCUCCGGCUAAAUCCCCGUGAACACAUGGUUCGAUUUUUGUUCAUCCUGCCUUUGUAAGUGAACGGCUUCCAGGGAAAAGAGUUAAAAGUAACCAGGAGUUAAAGGCCAUCUUCUAAUGACUGAGGGAGCUAGUAACAGUGAAUUUUGCUUUUUUUAAACUUCUAAACUUGAAAGAGUGGUUUAACUAGGGAGGUCUCUUUUAAGGACAAGGCCACUAAACCUCGAGUAGAUUUCUUUCUUUGCUUUUCUUAGAGGUGGGGUCUUGCUAUGUUGCCCAGGCUGGAGUGCAGUGGCUAUUCACAAGCACAAUCACAACGCACCGCAGCCUUGAACUCCUGGCCCAAGUGAUCCUCCCACUGCAGCCUUCCAAGUAGCUGGGGCUACAGGCACGCACUACCACUCCCAGUAUGAAUGGGUUUCUUAAGAGUUAUCCAGAUAAUUCAGACUUAACGUCUCAUAUUAGAGAAUAAAACUCAACUAAUAUCUUUUUUGACAGGGAAAUAAUGUAAAAAUGUUUACAUUAUUACACACUACAAUAAUAAUGUACUAAUGUUUAUCUACUUUUGUCAAGUACUUUCACAGACCACUCUCCAUGAAUGUUAAGCAUCAUGACAAGUAAGCUUGUCUUCCUUAUAAGAGAGACUGGGAAGUGGAGACUCAGAAAAAUUCAGCAACUCAGGGAACUCCCAUACUAAGUUGUGAAGGGACUGAUCUUGGAUUUGAGUCUAAGCCUGAGUUCCAAGUGCCUCCCCUUAAACCUCUCAGGUCAAGACCAAAGGCAAAUGUUCCUACCAAGCUCCCUGCUCCUCACCCAGCAAGAAGGGUUUAGAUAACUGAAGAGGGUUAAAUCAAAAAUCAGUAAGACAUUUGCCUAUAUCAGACACCAACCUGACCUCAGUUUAAAAGAAGUGUCCUUUGAAGGCCAGGUGCAGUGGCUCACGCCUGUAAUCCCAGCACUUU